GAGAGGACCAUGCCUUGCCAGCAAUCAAUGUAAAGAAACUGGUCAGUGUGCCCAGGGUCCCCUACAAGAACUCUGAACACCUUGCUAACCAGCUCUUUAUCUGGGGACCCCCUUGGCAUGCCAGCCUACUCUGGAAGAGGGCCAAUCUAUUUCACAGAAGGUCCGGAGUUUUCUGGGAGUCAGCUCUAAAAUCUUCAGAAUAUCCCUUUUUGAAAUUUUUUAUCAUACACUCAAGAGGAGUAAGUUUAUGUUGUUCGCCACUCAUUUAUUCCCCCUAACAGAUGACAAUCAAACGCAUGAGGAGUGGGGAAAAGGAAAAGAGUGAGCAAUUGUUUAAACCAUCUCCGGCCAGUCCCCUUGCAGAGAGAGGUUUCAGGUGCCUCUUAACAUUGGCAGGUUCCUAUAAAUCCCUGACCUGACCCAGGCUCAUAGACCUUGUGAAGAGCCUGACACUUCCAUGAGCUGUGUGAGGAUUACCAUGGACCUGUGCAUUAGGACUCUGUACCCACUCCAGGUUUAGCCUACUUCAUGUCUCCAUCCUGCUGCCUGGUUGUGGUUUUGUCUCACACAAUACACUACUAGGGCAACUCUUGGAGUUGAUCAGUCUCCCCUUUGCCACUUAGGGCAGGUCUAGCUCUUGAAUCCAGGUUUCUACCUGUCUGGUGGAGCUCCCUGAGCUGGUUCCUACAGAGUUCCCUUGUGCUCCCAGGGUCCUUGCACCUGCAUGCAGGAAGGGUUAGUCCCUUAUUCAUCAGUUGGUCUGCUAGCGCCAGGUGAGGUCACAUUCCUCAGUGUCUGGGGGCCUGUACCCUAGUGACAA
rnacentral:lncRNA from 1 species